rnacentral:rRNA from 2 species
GUUUGACCUCAAAUCAGGUAG